rnacentral:rRNA from 2 species
CUACAGUGGCCACACCAGAUCCCAUCAGAACUCUGAAGUUAAGCACUGUAAG